rnacentral:rRNA from 1 species
UUGGAAGUAAAAGUCGUAACAAGGUUUCCGUAGGUGAACCUGCGGAAGGAUCAUUAUCAAAACAGCGGACUUCGGUCCUUGCUGCACCCUUGUCUUUUGCGUACCGUAUGUUUCCUCGGCGGGCUUGCCUGCCGGUUGGACAUUAUCAAACCUUUUUGUAGUUGCAAUCAGCGUCAGAAAACAAACAAUAAUUACAACUUUCAACAACGGAUCUCUUGGUUCUGGCAUCGAUGAAGAACGCAGCGAAAUGCGAAAAGUAGUGUGAAUUGCAGAAUUCAGUGAAUCAUCGAAUCUUUGAACGCACAUUGCGCCCCUUGGUAUUCCAUGGGGCAUGCCUGUUCGAGCGUCAUUUUGUACCCUCAAGCACUGCUUGGUGUUGGGCGUUUGUCCUGCAAAGGACUCGCCUGAAAGCGAUUGGCGGCCAACGUACUGGUGGUAGAGCGCAGCACAAUUUGCGUCUCUCCCUUCUACGUCGGCGUCCACGAAGCCUUUUUUCAACGUUUGACCUCGGAUCAGGUAGGGAUACCCGCUGAACUUAAGCAUAUCAAUAAGCGGAGGAA